rnacentral:tRNA from 1 species
GGGGGCUGGUGCAAACGGCAGCACGACCCGCCUCUGGAGCGGUAGAUGGAGGUUCGAGCCCUCCGCCCCCA